rnacentral:rRNA from 1 species
CACGUAGGGUGCAAGCGUUGUCCGGAAUUAUUGGGCGUAAAGGGCUCGUAGGCGGUCCGUCACGUCGGGAGUGAAAACUCGGGGCUCAACCCCGAGCCUGCUUCCGAUACGGGCGGACUAGAGGUAGGUAGGGGAGAACGGAAUUCCUGGUGUAGCGGUGAAAUGCGCAGAUAUCAGGAGGAACACCGGUGGCGAAGGCGGUUCUCUGGGCCUUACCUGACGCUGAGGAGCGAAAGCGUGGGGAGCGAACAGG